rnacentral:rRNA from 1 species
UACGAAGGGGGCUAGCGUUGCUCGGAAUCACUGGGCGUAAAGCGCACGUAGGCGGCUUGUUAAGUCAGGGGUGAAAUCCCGAGGCUCAACCUCGGAACUGCCUUUGAUACUAUUGGUCUUGAAUCUUGUUGAGGUGGGCGGAACGGGUCAUGUAGCGGUGAAAUGCAUAGAUAUGACCCGGAACACCGAUUGCGAAGGCAGCCUGCUAAGCAAGCAUUGACGCUGAGGCACGAAAGCGUGGGGAUCAAACAGG